UAGAAGUUUGAUCAUGGCUCAGAUGAACGCUGGCGGCAGGCCUAACACAUGCAAGUCGAGCGGAAACGAGCUGUCUGAACCUUCGGGGAACGACAACGGCGUCGAGCGGCGGACGGGUGAGUAAUGCCUGGGAAAUGCCCUGAUGUGGGGGAUAACCAUUGGAAACGAUGGCUAAUACCGCAUAAUAGCUUCGGCUCAAAGAGGGGGACCUUCGGGCCUCUCGCGUCAGGAUAUGCCCAGGUGGGAUUAGCUAGUUGGUGAGGUAAAGGCUCACCAAGGCGACGAUCCCUAGCUGGUCUGAGAGGAUGAUCAGCCACACUGGAACUGAGACACGGUCCAGACUCCUACGGGAGGCAGCAGUGGGGAAUAUUGCACAAUGGGCGCAAGCCUGAUGCAGCCAUGCCGCGUGUGUGAAGAAGGCCUUCGGGUUGUAAAGCACUUUCAGCAGUGAGGAAGGGUGUGUAUUUAAUAGAUGCACAUUUUGACGUUAGCUGCAGAAGAAGCACCGGCUAACUCCGUGCCAGCAGCCGCGGUAAUACGGAGGGUGCGAGCGUUAAUCGGAAUUACUGGGCGUAAAGCGCAUGCAGGUGGUUUGUUAAGUCAGAUGUGAAAGCCCGGGGCUCAACCUCGGAACUGCAUUUGAAACUGGCAGGCUAGAGUACUGUAGAGGGGGGUAGAAUUUCAGGUGUAGCGGUGAAAUGCGUAGAGAUCUGAAGGAAUACCGGUGGCGAAGGCGGCCCCCUGGACAGAUACUGACACUCAGAUGCGAAAGCGUGGGGAGCAAACAGGAUUAGAUACCCUGGUAGUCCACGCCGUAAACGAUGUCUACUUGGAGGUUGUGGCCUUGAGCCGUGGCUUUCGGAGCUAACGCGUUAAGUAGACCGCCUGGGGAGUACGGUCGCAAGAUUAAAACUCAAAUGAAUUGACGGGGGCCCGCACAAGCGGUGGAGCAUGUGGUUUAAUUCGAUGCAACGCGAAGAACCUUACCUACUCUUGACAUCCAUAGAACUUAGCAGAGAUGCUUUGGUGCCUUCGGGAACUAUGAGACAGGUGCUGCAUGGCUGUCGUCAGCUCGUGUUGUGAAAUGUUGGGUUAAGUCCCGCAACGAGCGCAACCCUUAUCCUUGUUUGCCAGCACUUCGGGUGGGAAACUCCAGGGGAGACUGCCGGUGAUAAAACCGGGAGGAAGGUGGGGACGACGUCAAGUCAUCAUGGCCCCUUACGAGUAGGGCUACACAACGUGCUAAAAUGGGCGCAUACAGAG
rnacentral:rRNA from 1 species